CCAAAGGCUCUUUUCAGGGCCACCAUCUUUCUUAGCAACCAAGAGG
rfam:Callithrix jacchus chromosome 2, whole genome shotgun sequence